AAAUAAAUUUCAUUAGCAAUCAGCAAAACACGUUUUUUUAAUCAAUUUGUAACAAAUAUAUAUAUUUUUUAAUAAUAAGUAUCCUAUGUCCUUUCUAAUAGUAUAAGGAAUAUGUGUACACAGUUUCAUAAUGAUUGGUUAAGUGCCUUUAUAAUGUUAGUAUGGAGAUGUCUUUUUUUUAUACAGCUCUCUGAGUAAACUUGGUGUUGGGUCACCGAUUGAGAACAACUACAUUCUUAGGCCAUAUAUUCUUAUAUAUUUCUGCGCUCCAUUUCGAUUUCCUACAAAAUUUUGGAGAACGUUCACAAAACAUUUCCAGAUAUACAAAUCCACUGCCAUCUCUCGGCAUAGCUUUUACAAAAUACGGCACUAUUUAAGAUGGGUCUGUGUGUUUGAGUCAAACAAAAAUAAUAAUCACUUCCGAGCAUAUGAUACUUUGGGAUCGGUGUAGUAGUUUUGAAGUUAUGAAAGGCACCGAUUUAAAAAACGCGUUUUUGGGGGAACUCUGUAAAAUUUUGAACUCUAAGUAACUCCAACACGUUCUGAAUGCAGUUGAUUUAGAUUAACCCCUAAGGAAGUAUUCUCGUCUAUCAAAUUUUUGAAAUUGAAAUUAAUUUCAAAGUUAUAACCUAGUUCUAAUCAGUCGACUUACUUGAUUUUUGGCACGAAUAAUAAAAGCAAUAAAAACUGGAAAUUUCUAA